rnacentral:rRNA from 1 species
AGCCCUACGGGACGCAGCAGUGGGGAAUAUUGGACAAUGGGGGGAACCCUGAUCCAGCGACGCCGCGUGAGUGAAGAAGUAUUUCGGUAUGUAAAGCUCUAUCAGCAGGGAAGAAAAUGACGGUACCUGACUAAGAAGCCCCGGCUAACUACGUGCCAGCAGCCGCGGUAAUACGCAUGGGGCAAGCGUUAUCCGGAUUUACUGGGUGUAAAGGGAGCGCAGGCGGCCUGCCAAGUCUAGUGUGAAAACCCGGGGCCCAACCCCGGGCCUGCAUUGGAAACUGGCGGGCUGGAGUGUCGGAGGGG